UAGGGAAUCUUCCGCAAGGGACGCAAGUCUGACGGAGCAACGCCGCGUGAGUGAAGAAGGAUUUCGGUUCGUAAAACUCUGUUGUUAGAGAAGAACAGCGCAUAGAGUAACUGUUAUGCGUGUGACGGUAUCUAACCAGAAAGCCACGGCUAACUACGUGCCAGCAGCCGCGGUAAUACGUAGGUGGCAAGCGUUGUCCGGAUUUAUUGGGCGUAAAGCGAGCGCAGGCGGUCAAUUAAGUCUGAUGUGAAAGCCCCCGGCUCAACCGGAGAGGGUCAUUGCAAACUUGCUGACUUGAGUGCUGAAGAGGAGAGUUGAAUUCCAUGUGUCGCGGUGAAAUGCGUAGCUAUAUGGAGGAACACCAGUGGCGAAGGCGACUCUCUGGUCUGUAACUCACGCUGAGGCUCGAAAGCGUGGGUAGCAAACACG
rnacentral:rRNA from 1 species